UGGGGAAUAUUGGACAAUGGGCGCAAGCCUGAUCCAGCAAUGCCGCGUGUGUGAAGAAGGUCUUCGGAUUGUAAAGCACUUUCGACGGGGACGAUGAUGACGGUACCCGUAGAAGAAGCCCCGGCUAACUUCGUGCCAGCAGCCGCGGUAAUACGAAGGGGGCUAGCGUUGCUCGGAAUGACUGGGCGUAAAGGGCGCGUAGGCGGUUUGUACAGUCAGAUGUGAAAUUCCUGGGCUCAACCUGGGGGCUGCAUUUGAUACGUGCGGACUAGAGUGGGGAAGAGGGUCGUGGAAUUCCCAGUGUAGAGGUGAAAUUCGUAGAUAUUGGGAAGAACACCGGUGGCGAAGGCGGCGACCUGGUCCUUGACUGACGCUGAGGCGCGAAAGCGUGGGGAGCAAACAGG
rnacentral:rRNA from 2 species